UAGGGAAUCUUCCGCAAUGGACGAAAGUCUGACGGAGCAACGCCGCGUGAGCGAAGAAGGCCUUCGGGUCGUAAAGCUCUGUUGUUAGGGAAGAACAAGUAUCGGAGUAACUGCCGGUACCUUGACGGUACCUAACCAGAAAGCCACGGCUAACUACGUGCCAGCAGCCGCGGUAAUACGUAGGUGGCAAGCGUUGUCCGGAAUUAUUGGGCGUAAAGCGCGCGCAGGCGGUCCUUUAAGUCUGAUGUGAAAGCCCACGGCUCAACCGUGGAGGGUCAUUGGAAACUGGGGGACUUGAGUGCAGAAGAGGAGAGUGGAAUUCCACGUGUAGCGGUGAAAUGCGUAGAGAUGUGGAGGAAACACCAGUGGCGAAGGCGACUCUCUGGUCUGUAACUGACGCUGAGGCGCGAAAGCGUGGGGAGCAAACAGGAUUAGAUACCCUGGUAGUCCACGCCGUAAACGAUGAGUGCUAAGUGUUAAGAGGGUUUCCGCCCUUUAGUGCUGC
rnacentral:rRNA from 1 species